ACCCCUGCCACGUCAAAGGAGGCAGAAGGGGAGUUGGGAGCAGAGA
ensembl:miRNA